GAACUGUAUGAAAUAAGACACAAGUGGGCGAAGCCAUAUUUCAAAGGUGUUUUCUGUGCUAAGAUGACAAGCACCCAAUGCAGUGAAAGUGCAAACCACAUGCUGAAGAGCUAUGUCCCACCUGGUUGUCUGAUGCAUAUGUUUGUCAAAAAAUACAUGAGACUGCAGUUUGACAGGGAAGCUGAGGAGAACUACGAGGAGAAACGGACACGAAUAGUAAGUCAACGUUUGGUAAUUGCCACUAGUUUUGUAGUGCUGACCUCUACGUUUCAGGGUAGAACACUAUACAAAGCAAACUUAGCUAUUGACAGACAUGCUGGUAAGAUAUAG
rnacentral:rRNA from 1 species